GUAAAGAAAAUCGCAUAAACUCUUUCCUCUCACAUUGAAAGACACACACAUUUUUCCUUCUUUCAUGCACUAAUACAUACCGCAAACACCCAUCAUGUUUCCUCCUCACUCUCUCUCAAAAAACACCACCAUCAAUAGUUCAUCAUAAAAUCAUCAUUACAACUUACUCUUCAUCAGCAUCUCCAUCUCUAAACAACCAUAAAAAACCUCACUACAAGAAAGCUUCAUAAAACCACCAUUAUCCAUUAAAACAACAAUAAACCUCGUGAAAGCUUCAACAACAACUCAAUAUCUUCAUUAAAUCACAUAGAAUAAACCAUCAACACUACUACACUCAUCAACCACCACCACCACUAUAAUACUCCUUCCGUCGCUCCAAACAUCUCGUCGUUGAUGUUCACCGAUCGAUCACUACAACAAACAACAAUGACCACGCCUAGACGCCGACCUCAACGAGCUCUUCAACGCCUACUCAUCAAUUCCAUACAUCUCCGACAAAAGGCGUGGUAUACCAUUUCUUCCCUUCGAUUUCCGACUUUGAUUUAAGUUUCGCUUUCAUUGUUGUGAAUGGGUGAAGGUCGAUAUUUGUUGUCUCAGAUGCCUAGCAAUUUUGAAGUUAAAAAUUCAAUUUAACUUCAGAAAUUGUUUACUCGUAUAAAGUUUUCUUGACCAGCCUUAGAUAGGGUGAUUAAUACGUGAAUUGCUUUACGAUUGCUUAACGUAACGUUAAAUUAUGUAGUUCAAUUUUUGAUUUUUACUUCGAGUCCCUUGGCUUUCUCUUGGGUCUUCUUACAACGAGAUUCUUUUAUUUUACAAAUGUCUUUCAAAACUUGUAUGAUUUAGUUAUUAUGUUGUAUCCCUCAUUCGAUAAAAUGUACCCCCAUUCCCGAAAAUGUGUAAAUAAUUUACCACUUUCAUUUAUUUUUAUUGUAUCAGUUGAUUGUUAAUUCCAAAAUUAAAAUCAAACAUUUUUAGAAAAGAACAAAAAAAAUACUUGACCCAAUGUCGAGCAAUUUUCACAAAAAAUUUAGAACCAUUUUCAUA